GGGCGCCUAGCUCAGUUGGUAGAGCAGCUGACUCUUAAUCAGCGGGCCAGAGGUUCGAGUCCUCUGGCGCCCACCA
rnacentral:tRNA from 1 species